AUGGCAUCUUACACAGUGGUCAUUGUCCCUCUCAGGAACAGUCCUAACAGUCUGGAUGCAUUGCAGUUCUUCCUUUGGGUGAAGAAGAUGAAGGACUUGGAGAGGGAAAAGGACCUUUUGUGGAUUGGAUUGCAGGCUUUAGAGCAGGUGCGAGAGAAAUUAUGCUACAACCCAGAAGACCACAUGGAAGUGCAAGACCAAUUCAAGAAAGGACAGAUGAGAAAAGUGAGAUUUUUUUUUUUUGUAUCAACAUGUUUAUACUUUUUUGUGUUUAAUAUAUUUUCUAUUCAUCAGGUGUUUCCAGACACCUCCACCCUACUGUUGGCUCAGAUCCACAGAGUGAACAGGACCUUGAGGAAUCUACUGUGUGACUCCAGGAAUCCCACUGAUCCUGCAAUAGAAGGUCGUUCUUUUAAAAAUGUGCACAAAAUUCAUGUAAAAGCAUUUAGUUCUCUCUUCAUUGUCAUUUUAUGUGCCAGAACUAUUCAGUUCAAUGUAUUCAAAGCAGUUUAUUUUUUUUUUUAGGUACUGAAGGACAUCAGCCCUCUCCUACCGAUUCAGAAGAAAGUGCUAGUUUUUAAUCAGCUAUUUGUUUUGAAUUUCUAUACUGUAUUUUCCUGUAUUGUGUGCUUGCUGAAUGUAUUCUGAGUGGAUUGAAAUGAUCAUUUUAAGUGCAAUAUAUGAAAAUUGCUUACUUGAUUGGAUUUCCAAAACAUGGCAUACAACUCGCACACUGCUUUGUAUGUUUUAUUCAAGAAUUCGGUGAAGUCGACUUGGCGAAACUUUCCAUUUCCAUUGUCCUUCCAGGAAUUAAUAUACUAAAGGUUUAUUAACUGCGCUCUGCCAUUUAGUUUCUGAUACUAUUUUUGCAAUGGUAAAUUUAUACAUGCAAAGAAAUUAGAUCAUGUGAGCAUUUUUUUCUUUUUGUCAGUAUACUGCAUUUAUAUUUGACUAUUUUUGUAUUUAUUAAUGCAUAUUUAAAUCGGCAGGUUUUUUUUCUGCGUGUGAAAUUGAUGAGCACAAAAAAAAGUAAUGUAAAAGAGAUUAAAUUUGAAAGCUCAUUCAUUCAGCAGUUCUUAAAUAUCGAGUUAAUGAGUUAUCCAAGUCAACAGCGAUUAUCAUGGAAAGAAAGACAACACUGAGUGCAUAACAGUGGCCAUUCCUCCACACCUUAGCCUUUUUUGACAUGUCACCUGUCAUCCUGGUCCCAGAAUUUCCUCUCAUGGCCACCCAAGGGGUUAAUAUGAAAGCUGUUCCUGCCACAGCCAGCCUAGAGAUUCCUGUCUCAGCCUCUCCAUUCCUCAGCUUAUCAUCUGCCAGACUGACAUCAGUGGCCUUUUACAAGUCUUAGCAUCUUCCAAAGCUAGCCUUGGUAGUCUGGUGCCUUGGUUUGAGGCAGUAUCAUUACAGCAUACUUUAACAAUAUAGUAAUUGUGCAGUUGGUUCAGUAGUUUAUAUAAAUAUAUUUCAAUAGUUUAAAUAAUCAAAACUUUAAAAAAUAUUCUGCCAUACACUUUAAAAGCAUAGUUUAUUUAAAUUAUAUCACUACAGCAUACAGUAUUUAUUUAUAUAACAAUAUGGCAUACAGUAGUUCACAGCAUAGUUUAACAUUGCACAAUUGAAAAUAAUAUCACUCAGAAAUAUGGCUUGAUUAAUGUUUUUAUUUAUUUUAUAUAUUGUGUUUAAUGUGCUGAAUAAAAUGUAAAAUUGUUGAGUGAGAGGUUGUCACCGUUCAUAUAAUG
ensembl:lncRNA